CAGCCGCCACGGUAAUACAGAGGAUGCAAGCGUUAUCCGGAAUGAUUGGGCGUAAAGCGUCUGUAGGUGGCUUUUCAAGUCCGCCGUCAAAUCCCAGGGCUCAACCCUGGACAGGCGGUGGAAACUACCAAGCUGAGUACGGUAGGGGCAGAGGGAAUUUCCGGUGGAGCGGUGAAAUGCGUUGAGAUCGGAAAGAACACCAACGGCGAAAGCACUUUGCUGGGCCGACACUGACACUGAGAGACGAAAGCUAGGGGAGCAAAUGGGAUUAGAGACCCCAGUAGUCCCUGUCUCUUAUACA
rnacentral:rRNA from 1 species